rnacentral:lncRNA from 1 species
GUCUGCCACUAAGACAGACUUUGGUCUUUUUGUUGUCUUUUUGUUUUGUUUUUGUUUUUUCAAGACUGGGUUGGGAUUUGUCUGUGUAAUAACCUGGUUAUCCAGAAACUCACUGGUGUAGACCAGGCUGGCUUCAAACUCACAGAGGUCCACCUGCCUCUGCCUCUGCCUCCUGAGUGCUGAGAGUAGAGGUGCGCCCAGCAUGCUGGUGAGCCUCCGGUUUCAGCAUUUCAUACAUGCUGGGGUUACAAGCCCAGCUGCAGUCAGUAUUUUAUGAAAUUUGUAUCUUUUGAAAACCGCUCUCUCUACAUGGCCACCACACUUUGCUUCUCUGUCUCUUAACUCAUUCUCUCUAUCCCCCAUCCUGGGCCUCCUCCCUCUCCCUCCCUUCCCUCGAUCCUCUCCUCCCUCCCCCUCCCUCUUCUCUUCCCUCUCCUCCUCUGACCUUUACCAUUUUUGCAGUCAAACGUCAGUCCUCAAACUGUUUGGUCUCAAAUCCCUUUGUGCAAGGAACGAGGGAGCCGACAGAGCUUUUGUUCUUUCCUUUUCUUAUGAUGCUCACCAUGUUAUUAAUUAAAGCUGACAUGUUUCUG